GGAUCCACAAUGGCUCAUUGGUUAGAGUACCUGACUCAAGAUCAAAAGGGUACAGGUUCAAAUCCUACCAUUUGAACCA